AAGUGCACUUAAAAGUUAUCCUGCAAAAAGUAUUUUUAUUAGUUAUUAUAUAAUCUUUUUUUAAUUUAUGGCCUAAUAAAUUCAUUCAUACUGACAAUAAAAGUAUUUUUCUAUUUCAACUCAUAUGCAAUGCAGUAUUGGUGUAGUGGGAAGAGCGCUCGCUUUGUAAGCGAGAGGUUUGGAGCUCAACUCCUACCACGUCCCUGGAAGUACCGCGAUCAACUUAGUUUCUCCACACAGCGGCUCAAGGCUCCUGUUUCGGAGUUAAAGAGUCGAGAAAGAUGCAGUUAUAUAUGACAAAGGUGGUUUGGAAGCGCGCAAUAUUGAAGGACUAGUUGGCGAUCUGAUGAAACGUGCAACCUCGAAAUCGCCCAAAAAAUUGCAACUAUUUAACAUGAGUAUCGUACUAUAAGAAAAAUUUAUAUUGUAAAAUUUAUGCCUUUUUUGUAAAAUAUGAUCUAUCAAUAAAUUGAAUUCUGUUUA